UACGAAGGGGGCUAGCGUUGUUCGGAAUUACUGGGCGUAAAGCGUGCGCAGGCGGCUUCUCAAGUCAGUGGUGAAAGCCCAUCGCUCAACGGUGGAACGGCCAUUGAUACUGCAAGACUUGAAUUAUUGGGAAGCAACUAGAAUAUGUAGUGUAGCGGUGAAAUGCUUAGAGAUUACAUGGAAUACCAAUUGCGAAGGCAGGUUACUACCAAUAUAUUGACGCUGAUGGACGAAAAGCGUGGGGGAGCGAACAGG
rnacentral:rRNA from 1 species